AAUCUUAGGUCAAAUUUUAAUUAAAGUCCUAAUUAAAAUCCUAAUAAAUCUUAAUCAAAUCCUAAUAAAUUCCUAAUAAAAUCCUAAAUCCAAAAUAAAUCCUAAAUAAAUUGUAAUCAAAUCCUAUUCAAAUCUAAAUUAAAUUCUAAUCAAAUCUCCAUCAAAUCUAAAAAAAUCUUAAAGCCUAAUCAAAUAUUAAAUCAACCUUAAUAAAAUCCUAAUCAAAUUUUAAUGAAAUCCAAAUAAAAUCCUAAAUCCUAACUAAACUCUAUACAAAUCCUAAAUCUUUAUCAAACCUUAAU
rnacentral:lncRNA from 1 species